rnacentral:rRNA from 1 species
UACGAAGGGGGCUAGCGUUGCUCGGAAUCACUGGGCGUAAAGGGUGCGUAGGCGGGUCUUUAAGUCAGGGGGGAAAUCCUGGAGCUCAACUCCAGAACUGCCUUUGAUACUGGAGAGCUCGAGUCCGGAAGAGGUGAGUGGAACUGCGAGUGUAGAGGUGAAAUUCGUAGAUAUUCGCAAGAACACCAGUGGCGAAGGCGGCUCACUGGUCCGGUACUGACGCUGAGGUGCGAAAGCGUGGGGAGCAAACAGG